rnacentral:rRNA from 1 species
UACAGAGGUCCCAAGCGUUGUUCGGAUUCAUUGGGCGUAAAGGGUGUGUAGGUGGCGCCGUAAGUCGGGUGUGAAAUUUCGGAGCUUAACUCCGAAACUGCAUUCGAUACUGCGGUGCUUGAGGACUGGAGAGGAGACUGGAAUUCAUGGUGUAGCAGUGAAAUGCGUAGAGAUCAUGAGGAAGACCAGUGGCGAAGGCGGCCCCCUGGGCCGUUCCUGACGCUGAGACGCGAAGGCGUGGGGAGCAAACAGG